CUAAGUUCAGCGGGUAUUCCUACCUGAUCCGAGGUCAACAUUCAGAAGUUGGGGUUUUACGGCAUGGCCGCGCCGCGUUCCAGUUGCGAGGUGUUAGCUACUACGCAAUGGAGGCUGCAGCGAGACCGCCAAUGUAUUUCGGGGGCGGCGCCGCCCAGAAGGGCAGAGCCGAUCCCCAACACCAAACCCGGGGGCUUGAG
rnacentral:misc_RNA from 1 species